AUUGAACGCUGGCGGCAGGCCUAACACAUGCAAGUCGAACGGUAACAGGAAGCAGCUUGCUGCUUUGCUGACGAGUGGCGGACGGGUGAGUAAUGUCUGGGAAACUGCCCGAUGGAGGGGGAUAACUACUGGAAACGGUAGCUAAUACCGCAUAACGUCGGAAGACCAAAGAGGGGGACCUUAGGGCCUCUUGCCAUCGGAUGUGCCCAGAUGGGAUUAGCUAGUAGGUGGGGUAACGGCUCACCUAGGCGACGAUCCCUAGCUGGUCUGAGAGGAUGACCAGCCACACUGGAACUGAGACACGGUCCAGACUCCUACGGGAGGCAGCAGUGGGGAAUAUUGCACAAUGGGCGCAAGCCUGAUGCAGCCAUGCCGCGUGUAUGAAGAAGGCCUUCGGGUUGUAAAGUACUUUCAGCGGGGAGGAAGGGAGUAAAGUUAAUACCUUUGCUCAUUGACGUUACCCGCAGAAGAAGCACCGGCUAACUCCGUG
rnacentral:rRNA from 1 species